GUCUACGGCCAUACCACCCUGAACGCACUCCAUCUUGUCUGACGUCAGAAGCUAAGCAGGGUCGGGCCUGCUUAGUACUUGGGUGGGAGAAAUUAAGGGGAAAAUAGAGA
rnacentral:rRNA from 1 species